GGUAGGAUGCCCGUGAAGUUGACGACCGGUUCGUAAUAACGUUUCAGGACCCGGGGGCGGUACCCGGCGCCUCCACCAGAAACAUCCUGCCCCGGCCAUCGCGCGGGGGUCGUGCAGGCAGCCACGCAUCGGCGGCUUGCAGCCAGGGGGUUUCUGCUGGGGGCGAAGUUAGGUUCGACUGGACGGUAAAGGGACCGCGAGUUCUGUCCUGUUUCGGCAGGAUAAGAUGCGACUUUCGGUAAGGACUCGACCGGUUCGGCGCAGGCAACCCCUGUUCCGAGCACCUGACCAAAACUCUAAAUGCCAACGAUAACGUUGUCAUGGAUGCCCGCCUCGCGGCGUAAGCAUCUUGCGGCAGGGCAGCCGUAGAAACAGAA
rnacentral:tmRNA from 1 species